GAUGAACGCUGGCGGCGUGCCUAAUACAUGCAAGUCGAGCGAACAGACGAGGAGCUUGCUCCUCUGACGUUAGCGGCGGACGGGUGAGUAACACGUGGAUAACCUACCUAUAAGACUGGGAUAACUUCGGGAAACCGGAGCUAAAACCGGAUAAUAUAUUGAACCGCAUGGUUCAAUAGUGAAAGACGGUUUUGCUGUCACUUAUAGAUGGAUCCGCGCCGCAUUAGCUAGUUGGUAAGGUAACGGCUUACCAAGGCAACGAUGCGUAGCCGACCUGAGAGGGUGAUCGGCCACACUGGAACGGAGACACGGUCCAGACUCCUACGGGAGGCAGCAGUAGGGAAUCUUCCGCAAUGGGCGAAAGCCUGACGGAGCAACACCGCGUGAGUGAUGAAGGUCUUCGGAUCGUAAAACUCUGUUAUUAGGGAAGAACAAAUGUGUAAGUAACUAUGCACGUCUUGACGGUACCUAAUCAGAAAGCCACGGCUAACUACGUG
rnacentral:rRNA from 1 species